GGGCGUGUAGCUCAGUUGGGAGAGCGCUAGAAUCGCACUCUAGAGGUCGGGGGUUCGACUCCCCUCACGUCCA
rnacentral:tRNA from 1 species